GGGCCCCGGUGAUGUCCAGCACUGGGCUCUGAUUCCCUCUGAGGACUCUGUUCCCCCCAGGGACUUUGACACCCAGGGAGUCUGAGGGGCCC